CUGAAGGGCUGGGUAAUGAAGAUACCCUCAAGCUACUGAAAAGGGAGCCCUAAGGAAAUGUCUUAAGACUCUUGGCAUCCUGCAAAUUUCCCAAAAUGUAUACAGACAAGGUACCUGACAUCAACUUUUGAAAGGAAAACAGAGUCCUACACACAGCAUUUGUCAGGUUGCUGACAAUGACUAAGUCACAUGAGACAAGUUAUAAUCAAGACGUAUAUGUUGCAAAUGUCUCCUGCUUAGCUUCUGAGAGGAUGGCCCUCUCUAUAUCUUCUGCAUUAGUCACAGGGCAGAAUUCUGUUUUGGAACGGUGACCAGCUCUGGAAGUCAAUUAACUAAACCUGCUCUCCACAAGAAAUAAAGAUCACUGCUGAAAUCUGUAAUCCUAAAAAAGAAACAUGAUUAGGAUAUCGGUAUAAAAUCAGGGUCACCCUAGAUUUUGGCUGGCAGAAAUUUUUUUUAUUGGCCAUAUUUUUAUUGCUUAA